rnacentral:rRNA from 1 species
AACGCGAAGAACCUUACCUGGUCUUGACAUCCACGGAAGUUUUCAGAGAUGAGAAUGUGCCUUCGGGAACCGUGAGACAGGUGCUGCAUGGCUGUCGUCAGCUCGUGUUGUGAAAUGUUGGGUUAAGUCCCGCAACGAGCGCAACCCUUAUCCUUUGUUGCCAGCGGUCCGGCCGGGAACUCAAAGGAGACUGCCAGUGAUAAACUGGAGGAAGGUGGGGAUGACGUCAAGUCAUCAUGGCCCUUACGACCAGGGCUACACACGUGCUACAAUGGCGCAUACAAAGAGAAGCGACCUCGCGAGAGCAAGCGGACCUCAUAAAGUGCGUCGUAGUCCGGAUUGGAGUCUGCAACUCGACUCCAUGACGUCGGAAUCGCUAGUAAUCGUGGAUCAGAAUGCCACGGUGAAUACGUUCCCGGGCCUUGUACACACCG